AUGCGUCAAGCCAAAGGGUGAUGUUCUCGAACGGACCUGGAAGUGCUUUUAGAUCAGCUGGAUUUUGAAAUUUCAUUAUUAUUAAUUACUCAUGCUGAAUCGCCGAAUUAAUUGGAAAUUUAAAUGAAUUAUUCUUUAUUUGUGCCUACCUUUUCAUCUGUUGUAUUUCUGUAAUUUGCAAUGAUAUCUUCAUCGUAUGCCAACAAAAAGAUUAAAAGUUUUUCUCUCCGUGUACCAAGCACAAACAAGUUAGAUCAUUCUAUCCAGAUCUUCGAAGGUAAGUCAAACAGCAGCAGAAGGAACUUCAUUCAGUGCCGUUCCAGCGUUCAACUUAGAAGCAUGAAGUGGCUCGAAGUGGGUUUCUUCGCGCUCUGUCUCAGCAGCUGUGCGGCUGAGUUCACCAAAGACCAGUUUCGUCAAAUAAUGGACAUUACCAGGGUGUGCUACACAAAGUUGGACAUCUCCAAAGAGUCGGAUUUGGUUGAUAAGAUUUUUUAUCAUAAAAAUUUAACGUACAACGAUCAGGAAGCAAAAUACAUCCUCUGUUAUCACCGGGAAGCAGGCUGGUUGGAUCCCCAAAACAUUUAUCACUCCGAAAAGGUUGUGAAUUUCUUCGCGCAAAACGAGCAACUUGAUCGAAAACAACUGGAAGAACUGAUUGAUCUUUGUCUCGAAAGGGACAGUGUAUUGGAUAAAAUGCUGGAUAGAGCCGUUAAGUUUUAUAGGUGUUUUUGGGACAAAAAGAAGUUCUCCCUCUAAGAGUGUUGUUAUGAAAAUAAAAUGCCUAUUUAAUUUA